rnacentral:rRNA from 1 species
AGGGCGCCACCAGGAGUGGAGCCUGCGGCUUAAUUUGACUCAACACGGGGAAACUUACCCGGCCUGGACACUGGAAGGAUUGACAGAUUGAGAGCUCUUUCUUGAUUCAGUGGGUGGUGGUGCAUGGCCGUUCUUAGUUGGUGGAGCGAUUUGUCUGGUUAAUUCCGAUAACGAACGAGACUCUAGCCUAUUAAAUAGGCUCUCGGCUUUUAAACGCCGGGAGGACUUCUUAGAGGGACAGGUGGCGGUUCAGCCGCACGAAAGAGAGCAAUAACAGGUCUGUGAUGCCCUUUGUUGUCCGGGGCCGCACGCGCGCUACACUGAAGAGAUCAGCGUGCUUUACGUUCCUGCUCCGACCGGAGUGGGGAACCCAGUGAACCUUCUUCGUGAUUGGGAUAGAAGAUUGUAAUUAUUCUUCUUGAACGAGGAAUUCCCAGUAAAUGCGAGUCAUAAGCUCGCGUUGAUUACGUCCCUGCCCUUUGUACACACCGCCCGUCGCUACUACCGAUUGAACGAUUU